rnacentral:rRNA from 1 species
UACGAGGGUGGCAAGCGUUGUUCGGAAUUACUGGGCGUAAAGGGCGCGUAGGCGGCAUUACAAGUCAGAUGUGAAAGCCCCGGGCUUAACUCGGGAAUUGCAUCUGAAACUGUUUUGCUUGAGUCCUGGAGGGGGUAGUGGAAUUCCCAGUGUAGCGGUGAAAUGCGUAGAUAUUGGGAGGAACACCUGCGGCGAAGGCGGCUACCUGGACAGUGACUGACGCUGAGGCGCGAAAGCUAGGGGAGCGAACGGG